GUUGUCUGCAUUGGCAAGUAUGAGAAGUUCUGAAGAAAAAGCUGAAGAUCUGACAUCCACACCACUGAUGUGGCAGUCCAGACCAGCUUUUGUCACUAUGGAUGCAGUGACAACUGGAGUUUGAAUAUACCGAGUGUGUUCUGGGGAUGUAACUGUGGAUUUGUCUUCCUUCAAAAGGAAUCCAUUAUGCACGCUCCGAGACCCUGGAUGCUCAGUGAUCUGAAGGAGACCACAGAAGUAUUUCAUUAUUUGGUUCUGAAGAAGGGAGAAGCUGAUUUUUGCAUCUCUAGUAGAAGGAAUGAGACAGGAAAAUUGGAUCCUUCAGAGGAAGAGAUGCUUGCCAAUGAAGAACCACUAUCUGCUUAGCAGAUUUUUCCUUUUCUUCUGUUGGAACGAAAAUUAAGCAACAACAACAACCCAAACCCAAAAAGUGGCUGAGAUAUUCCAUAGCAGAUUGGCUGCGGCAGAGUUACCUGGGGAGACCCAGCAUGUGUGCUGGAGGUCAGUAGCAAGUUUCCAAGGCGAGUCUCUUGGGCUUCUAUAUGUCUUCCUCUUUCUUAUUCAUUGCCUUGAGCAUUCCAAGGCUCUUUUUUACAAGCUGGCAUGCUGGGAUGAGAACCCCAGUAAGUGGCACGGGUUGAAGUGUGCCUGUGUGUUACAGAAACUCGAUGUUUCCUUUUUUUCCCUCGGGGUGAUGAUGCAUUGAGUUGAAGAGACCCGAGGAGAAGCGGAGUGCAGGGCUAAAAGUCUUCUUCCUGGCAGGUGUGAGUCACUGGCAGGAGCCAGGUAGCUACAGGAGUUGUAGGUGAAAGAGGCGGUUCCCCUCUGGCAUUCCUGUGCAGAGGGCACCUGGGGCAGCAAGGA